GCCUACUUAGCUCAGUGGUAGAGCGUCGGUCUCGUAUACCAAAGGUCGAUAGUUCAACUCAUUCAUAGAAA
rnacentral:tRNA from 1 species